ensembl:lncRNA
ACACACACACACACACACACACACACACACACACACACACCACACACAUACACACACACACACACACAAGAAAAUAUGAAGUAAUUGAAAUACACAUGUCUGCUGUCCCAAGCAGUGAGCUCUCUGCUCGUGCAAGGCCACUCCUUCUAUUAAAAUCAAAUCACAUUUUAUUGGUCACUUACACAUAUUAGCAGAUGUUAUUGCUGGUGUAGCGAAAUGCUUGUCCUGUCCUUCUGUCCUGUCCUGGCAGGAACACAGAGGGACUGACUGACUGACUAACUUUAACUGGGCCAAUGUGGGGAUGCACUUAUAGAUGACAGGAGCUAACAGCUGCCUUACUAUUUUACCCUCUGACGUCUUCAUGGGGAGAUGUAAGCACGGCAAGGCCAGAGGACUGAGAGCUGCGCGUUCCAACGUUCCCACAUUCUGAGUUCUGAGGUUCCAGUGUUCUGAGGUCCCAGUGUUCUGAGGUCCCAGUGUUCUGAGGUCCCAGUGUUCUGAGGUUCCAGUGUUCUGAGGUCCCAGUGUUCUGAGGUUCUAACCACCCCUUGCUGCAGGAAAGCGGAUGCACCGAACGUUAGCUGUCAGUGCUAGCGCGGUCACACGGCAGUCUUACUCUGUUAAUAAAUAACCAUUCAUCACAGCUUCCUUUAGCUCCUCCCACCUUCACCCUUCACCUUCCCUGUGCAUUUUUGUUGUUGUAGCUUUAGUUUUUUGUUUGUUUAUGUUGGUUACCUGCAGUUAUAGACUUGUAGUUGAAAGGAAGGAAUAUUAAUACGGAGAGCCCUUUUUAUUUUGGAUUAAUUAUAACGAUUUUAUUUCAUCAUAAUGAAAGAAUUCUGUCCAAAUUUUAUUAAACAUGCAAUAUGAUUUAUUUUUUUAAAGAAAGAAUAUAUAUUUUGCCAACAAAGGGUCUAGUCUAUUAAGCAUUUUGACUGUUUUAAAAUAUGUUUAUUUUAUUGUAUCAUACAACAGGAAAGACAAGCUUAAUUUGACUAGAUGGGGGGCAGAUUGACAGUAGGAUUUAAGGAACGAAGCCACACUGUGUAGCAAGCCGAAGCUUGCUCUAUGUGACUGAAAGAUGAAAAGUCUUAUAAAUUAUGUCAUUUAUUAAAUCAAAGGAUUCAAUUAUUAUUAUUAUUAUUAUUAUUACACAAUUGUGCAUGGGAUUUCGUUGACAAGUUACUUUAAUUAUCUUCUUUGCUUCCAAUGUUAAAACCACUAAGCUGUGAAGAGGAGGAAAAUCAGUUGGUUUAGUCAAAUAAAAAAACACCUAUUGUUAUUGUGAGGUCCUAAUCUCUGCUUGCAUGUCAGUGAGACUGGAAAGGAAGCGUCCUUGAAUUGAUUCUCUCAAAAAAAAAGAAUUGAUUCUAGAAUUUGAUUGUAUUGAAUCUCAGAAGACACUUGGUAUUGAAUGUAUUCGGGUUGAAUUCAGG